CCUACGGGGUGCAGCAGUAGGGAAUCUUCGGCAAUGGACGAAAGUCUGACCGAGCAACGCCGCGUGAGUGAAGAAGGUUUUCGGAUCGUAAAACUCUGUUGGUAGAGAAGAACGUUGGUGAGAGUGGAAAGCUCAUCAAGUGACGGUAACUACCCAGAAAGGGACGGCUAACUACGUACCAGCAGCCGCGGUAAUACGUAGGUCCCGAGCGUUGUCCGGAUUUAUUGGGCGUAAAGCGAGCGCAGGUGGUUUAUUAAGUCUGGUGUAAAAGGCAGUGGCUCAACCAUUGUAUGCAUUGGAAACUGGUAGACUUGAGUGCAUGAGAGGAGAGUGGGAUUCCAUGUGUAGCGGUGAAAUGCGUAGAUAUAUGGAGGAACACCAGUGGCGAAAGCGGCUCUCUGUCCUGUAACUGACACUGAGGCUCGAAAGCGUGGGGAGCAAACAGGAUUAGAUACCCGGGUAGUC
rnacentral:rRNA from 1 species